rnacentral:rRNA from 1 species
CGGGAGCAAUCCUGGUGGCGAGUGGCGAACGGGUGAGUAAUAUAUCGGAACGUGCCCAAUCGUGGGGGAUAACGCAGCGAAAGCUGUGCUAAUACCGCAUACGAUCUACGGAUGAAAGCGGGGGAUUCGCAAGAACCUCGCGCGAAUGGAGCGGCCGAUAUCAGAUUAGCUAGUUGGUGGGGUAAAAGCUCACCAAGGCGACGAUCUGUAGCUGGUCUGAGAGGACGACCAGCCACACUGGAACUGAGACACGGUCCAGACUCCUACGGGAGGCAGCAGUGGGGAAUUUUGGACAAUGGGCGCAAGCCUGAUCCAGCAAUGCCGCGUGCAGGAUGAAGGCCUUCGGGUUGUAAACUGCUUUUGUACGGAACGAAACGGUCUUCUCUAAUAAAGAGGGCUAAUGACGGUACCGUAAGAAUAAGCACCGGCUAACUACGUGCCAGCAGCCGCGGUAAUACGUAGGGUGCGAGCGUUAAUCGGAAUUACUGGGCGUAAAGCGUGCGCAGGCGGUGAUGUAAGACAGAUGUGAAAUCCCCGGGCUCAACCUGGGACCUGCAUUUGUGACUGCAUCGCUAGAGUACGGUAGAGGGGGAUGGAAUUCCGCGUGUAGCAGUGAAAUGCGUAGAUAUGCGGAGGAACACCGAUGGCGAAGGCAAUCCCCUGGACCUGUACUGACGCUCAUGCACGAAAGCGUGGGGAGCAAACAGGAUUAGAUACCCUGGUAGUCCACGCCGUANACGAUGAAUACUAGAUGUUGGUCAUAUUGAUCAGUGUCGCAGCUAACGCGUUAAGUAUUCCACCUGGGAAGUACGCCCGC